rnacentral:rRNA from 1 species
UAGGGGGCAAGCGUUAUCCGGAUUUACUGGGUGUAAAGGGAGCGUAGACGGCAUGGCAAGUCUGGUGUGAAAGGCAGGGGCUCAACCCCUGGACUGCAUUGGAAACUGUCAGGCUGGAGUGCAGGAGAGGUAAGUGGAAUUCCUAGUGUAGCGGUGAAAUGCGUAGAUAUUAGGAGGAACACCAGUGGCGAAGGCGACUUACUGGACUGUAACUGACGUUGAGGCUCGAAAGCGUGGGGAGCAAACAGGA